GACGGGGGCCCGCACAAGCGGAGGAACAUGUGGUUUAAUUCGAUGAUACGCGAGGAACCUUACCCGGGCUUGAACUGCAGCGGAAGGAUACAGAGAUGUUGACGCCCUUCGGGGUCGCUGUGGAGGUGCUGCAUGGUUGUCGUCAGCCCGUGCCGUGAGGUGUCGGCUUAAGUGCCAUAACGAGCGCAACCCUUUUCAUUAGUUGCCAUCAGGUAAUGCUGGGCACUCUGGUGAUACUGCCACCGUAAGGUGUGAGGAAGGUGGGGAUGACGUCAAAUCAGCACGGCCCUUACGUCCGGGGCUACACACGUGUUACAAUGGUAGGUACAGAGAGUCGGAUGUACGCAAGUACAUUCUAAUCCUAAAAGCCUUCCUCAGUUCGGAUUGGGGUCUGCAACCCGACCCCAUGAAGCUGGAUUCGCUAGUAAUCGCGCAUCAGCCAUGGCGCGGUGAAUACGUUCCCGGGCCUUGUACACACCGCCCGUCAAGCCAUGAAAGCCGGGGGCGCUUGAAGUCCGUGACCGCAAGGAUCGGCCUAGAGCGAAACUGGUAAUUGG
rnacentral:rRNA from 1 species